CCUUCGAUGCUCAAAUCAGUACUCUACUUCAACAGAAAUGGAGUGCUCGAGGAAAAAUUUUAGUAGAGUUUUGAGAUAGAGUUCAGAGCUUAGAGAAGAACGUAGCUGAGGAUCCUUAUUUAUAGACGGAGAGCAUAAUCGAUUGACAGUGAUGUCUGUAACCACCUGGUCGUGGGCUGUUCAGAGCUGCCUGGAGUUUGUUACGAAAAGUAGUGGCGUCAGGGGUCGUUCAGGGCCACA
rnacentral:lncRNA from 1 species